GUGCCAGCAGCCGCGGUAAUACGUAGGGUGCAAGCGUUGCCCGGAUUUAUUGGGCGUAAAGGGCGCGUAGGCGGCUCGGCACGUCCGUUGUGAAAUCGCCCGGCUCAACUGGGCGGGGUCGGCGGAUACGGCCGAGCUGGAGCAAGCUAGGGGGUAAUGGAAUUCCCGGUGUAGUGGUGGAAUGCGUAGAUAUCGGGAGGAACACCAGUGGCGAAGGCGGUUACCUGGAGCUUUGCUGACGCUGAUGCGCGAAAGCGUGGGGAGCGAUCCGGAUUAGAUACCCCCGUAGUCC
rnacentral:rRNA from 1 species